rnacentral:rRNA from 1 species
AUUGAACGCUGGCGGCAGGCCUAACACAUGCAAGUCGAGCGAGCGGCGGACGGGUGAGUAAUGUCUGGGAAACUGCCUGAUGGAGGGGGAUAACUACUGGAAACGGUAGCUAAUACCGCAUACCAUCAGAUGUGCCCAGAUGGGAUUAGCUAGUAGGUGGGGUAACGGCUCACCUAGGGGACGAUCCCUAGCUGGUCUGAGAUGAUUACCAGCCACACUGGAAUGGAGACACGGUCCAAACUCCUACGGGCGGCAGCAGUGGGGAAUAUUGGACAAUGGGGGAAAGCCUGAGGCGGCCAUGCCGGGGGUGUGAAGAAGGCCUUCGGGUUGUAAAGCACUUUCAGCGGGGAGGCGUUACCCGCAGAAGAAGCACCGGCUAACUUCGUGCCAGCAGCCGCGGUAAUUC